CCUGGCCUGGCAGGUCUGUGAGGGCUCACGGGUUAGCUCCUCCACUUUUCUUUUUUGCUUGUUUAUUUUUCAGUGCCUGUUUCUAUUAAGAUAACCAUGUUCAGAAGGAGAGUCUGAAACACAUAAAUAAUGGGAAGUGCUAAUAGUAAGCAGACUGCUGUAAAAUGUGCUGGGGCUUUGACUUAAGGGAAGAAAGCACAGCACUGUACUGUCCCUGAUCAGGAAGCUGGAGCACUGAAGACUUGACAAGCCUGUUGACAGGAUGGGGCAUUUAGAGGACACUGGCAGCCGAGAGAGCAGCUGGAAAUAACCAUUGGGUCUUUGCCAUGGAACCAAAAAGAGAAGGGUAGAGAGGUUUGCCAUGAUUCUCCAUAGAAUUCACUUAAGAUCAAAAAUGCUGGAGGUUGGAAACAUCCCAGUAAACUACUUCUGUCGAAUCUACAUCAUUGGAUUAUUUUUACCUCCUCACUAAAGAUGGUCGGAGAUGAAGCCAAAUACAAGCAUGAGAGGAAGUUCUAGAGAUGAGAAGCAAAAUUGGCGGGUAUGCACCUGUAUUUCCCUCUCACAUAACAGUGAA
rnacentral:lncRNA from 1 species